rnacentral:rRNA from 1 species
ACAAGGCCUUUACUGACGCUAAAGCUCGAAGGUGCGGGUAUCGAACAGGAUUAGAUACCCUGGUAGUCCGCACGGUAAACGAUGGAUGCCCGCUGUUUGCGAUAUACUGUGAGCGGCCAAGAGAAAUCGUUAAGCAUCCCACCUGGGGAGUACGCCGGCAACGGUGAAACUCAAAGGAAUUGACGGGGGCCCGCACAAGCGGAGGAACAUGUGGUUUAAUUCGAUGAUACGCGAGGAACCUUACCCGGGCUUGAACUGCAGGAGAACGAUACAGAGAUGUUGAGGUCCUUCGGGACUCCUGUGGAGGUGCUGCAUGGUUGUCGUCAGCUCGUGCCGUGAGGUGUCGGCUUAAGUGCCAUAACGAGCGCAACCCUUUUCGUCAGUUGCCAUCAGGUGAUGCUGGGCACUCUGGCGAUACUGCCACCGUAAGGUGUGAGGAAGGUGGGGAUGACGUCAAAUCAGCACGGCCCUUACGUCCGGGGCUACACACGUGUUACAAUGGGUGGUACAGAGAGUAGGUCAGUGGCAAUACUGAUCCAAUCCUAAAAGCCAUCCUCAGUUCGGAUUGGGGUCUGCAACCCGACCCCAUGAAGCUGGAUU